rnacentral:rRNA from 1 species
GAUCAUGCUCAGGAUGAACGCUAGCGACAGGCUUAACACAUGCAAGUCGAGGGGCAGCACGGUGUAGCAAUACACUGGUGGCGACCGGCGCACGGGUGAGUAACACGUGUGCAACCAACCCCGUACCGGGAGAUAACCCGCGGAAACGUGGACUAACAUCCCAUAAGACUCUAGAGCCGCAUGGCUCUGGAUUUAAAAUUCCGGUGGUACGGGACGGGCACGCGCGACAUUAGGUAGUUGGCGGGGUAAGGG